rnacentral:lncRNA from 1 species
AGUUGCCGCAGACAUGACAACGUUGGAGUAGCUGUGCUGCUGGAAGUCUGGGAGUUGGAUCAACCAUGACAAGAUCACCUCUACACCACUCUGUUAAGAACUAACAGCAUCAACGUACACAAUCAGGUGUUGGCAAUGUUUGGACUAUGAAGCAGGAAUCAAUACCUGGGGUGUGACUAGCCUCCCGUCACCUGCGACUGGUCACUGCAUCUCUCUCUCUCCCGCCUUCCUCUUGGGCGUGAGCUGACUCUCGCCCUCUCUCUGCGUGUUCAAUGGCAGAAGAUCCAGACAGGAGUAUGGCAGAACAAACAUGGCAACCAUUAACAUAAUAGAGCAGCUUCUAUUGCCUGAAGGAAGAAAUCUAAGCUGCUAAUCAUGGGCGACUUCAAGCAUGGAACGAGAGACUGGGAAAAUGGAGAACCACGGAGGGACAGAAACAUGGAGAGUUAAACGUUAGACGUGGCGACAAGAAACUUUCUAUACCAACAUGUCAAAGGGGCCCAGAAGAAUGAGAGGAAAUGAUGAACCAGCCAGACUUGGUCUAAUAUUCACCCUGAACGAGUCAAACAUAAGGGAAGUCAAAUCAGAGCCCCCCUUCCCCUAGGCAUGAGUGACUACGGUGCCCUAACAUUUGAGUAUCUGAUGGAAGUAGGAAUAAGUCCAUCCAAGGAAAGGACUUUAAAGUUUUUUUCUCUCUCUCUCUCUACCACAGACGUGGCCACACAUUUACAAUACUAAGCAGCAUAUAUACAUUUUCUACUGUCCUCCAUGGACAGGGUUAGAGAUGUGUUAAACAUAUAGUUCAGGGAUUUAUUGAACAAUCAACCACAGAAGGUGAUUCGGUGCUUUUAAAAUGCUAAGCUAACCUACAUACGUAAAUACAUAUACACAGAUUUACGUAUACCCUACAUAAAGGGUAUACGUAACAUACCCUGUGAUGAGAGUGACGGACACCGCCUUGACCACUAUCUACGUGAAUGUGAACACCUGAGACACAUUAGAAAUGUGUAGAAUAAUAAACCCCACAUUGUUUGAA